rnacentral:rRNA from 1 species
UACGUAGGGGGCAAGCGUUGUCCGGAUUUAUUGGGCGUAAAGAGCGUGUAGGCGGCCGUACAGGUCAGCUGUGAAAACUCGAGGCUCAACCUCGAGACGUCGGUUGAAACCGUACGGCUAGAGUCCGGAAGAGGAGAGUGGAAUUCCCGGUGUAGCGGUGAAAUGCGCAGAUAUCGGGAAGAACACCCGUGGCGAAGGCGGCUCUCUGGGACGGUACUGACGCUGAGACGGCGAAAAGCGUGGGGAGCGAACAGG